CCUAUCCUACCACUUCGGCCUUCGGUUCGGAGAAGCUCUCGCAGCCCGAUAUGUGAGUUUGGCAGAAAGAGCUGCAGAAAGCCAAGAAGUUAAUCCUCAUAAACGUUUCCCAUGGAUCCUCUGUAGGACGGCAUUCGGUUGCCCAAGUGUGAUACGCGUGACAAACUCACAUGUCAUAUGCUGUGUGUAUAUCACGCAUAAAAAAACACGGGCUUCAGAUUACGACCUCAGGAGGAUCGCCGGGCUAACGUGUGAAGGUACCAGCAGAAGCUUGGCUGAGUGUAGCAGAUCUCAGUCUCGCGUAAUACUGGUACUUCACAUCAAAGAGACUAAUAAUACUGGUGCUCCACAUCAAAGAAAACAACGAACCGAACACUUGAGCCCUUUCCAUUUAUAUCCAAAUAAGGCAGCAACGGGGGAGGUCGGCCAGAAGAUCUGGGCAAGAUAAUUUCAGCAACUUGCCGAAUGGUCCCACCCAUCAACCGCCCUACCAGACGGAUCCCCAAAGCGACAUUCAAACUCUUUAGAGGUAACAUCCACUCCCCUGAAAUUCUGAAUUGACUCGUCUUCAUCUCAGGUACUACGAAAGAGUCCCAAGACAGAGAUAAGUCAGCACAAUUUUCCGUCGAAAUGGUAAAAGUAAGAUUAAAACAAAUUCCUGGAGCAACACGGCAAUGUAAUAUCAAGCUCGCCUUCGCCCGCUUGAAGAAGGCACCAAAUGGAUCCUUCACAGAUAAAACAAGAAAAUCUCUCUGUUCCAACAAAGUGCCUGGGAAUGGUAAAGAGGUGAGGUUAACAUAUAUAUAUCUAAAAGUUUAUGUUUUGCAGGACAAGGUAGAGCCGAAUUCUCAAUUAAUGCUGU
rnacentral:lncRNA from 1 species